GUCCAAUUAAGAUCAGUAAGGGGAGAAAUGCAUUGUUCCAAAGAACUCCAUAUUUACUUAGCUUGCUGUGUCAAAAGAAGAUCAGCUGGAAUGUGUUGCCUUAGGGCCUGUGAUUAGCCAUUUUCAUUAGAAGCCCCUUAAUAGGCCAAUUGUAGAGAAGAAGGGAACAUAAAUCCUCUUCUUUUUUUUAAAAUAUUUUUUUAGUUGUAGUUGGACACAGUGCCUUUAUUUUAUUUAUUUAAUUUAUUUUUAUGUGGUGCUGAGGAUCGAACCCAGCGCUCUACCACUGAGCCACAAGCCCAGUCCCAAUCCUCUUCUUUUAUUUCUUAGACCUCACAAGUUACAAGUACAGAGAUUUUCAGUGUGUUAAGUUUGAACAUUAGCCCUUAAUAUAUGGUUUUGAGAAAUUGAAUCAGUUUGAGAGAGAAAUUGAAGACAAUUAUGAAAUAUUUAUUAUUUUUGUAAUUUGUUGAUUGAGGAAGUUAAUAACUUAGGCUGUGUGAGUCACUAUGACAAAAUACAUGAGAAAAGCAACUUAAAGGAGGAAAGAUUUGUUUUGUUCAUUGUUUCAGAGGUAAACCAUGAUCACUUGGCUCCAUCACUGUGGGCUUGGAGUGAGGCAGAACAUCAUGACUGGGAGCACCUAGUGGAGAAAACUGCUCCUUAGAGCAGAGGAGGGUCUUGGAACAAAAAUAUGUCCUUCAAAAAUACCCUUCCCCACACUGACUUAUGUCUUCCAGCUAGGUCCUACCUCCUGAAGUUUCCACUACCUUCCAGAAACUGCCACCAGCUGGAGACCAACCCUUUAACACAUGGGCCUUUGCUGGGGCGUUCCAGAUCCAAAUUGUAACAGGCUGUUUAUUUACCUUGCUAGAUAUUAUAUGAGUACUUGACUGGAGAAGAGCUGCUAAUGUAAAAAUCAUUGGUAUUUUUGAAGUCUGAUAUUUUUUGUGUUAUAAAUUGAAAAAUAAAGGUAACACAGUUUCCAUUGCAUAAUUCACCCCUAGACCAGUUUAAUUUGUUUACAUUUUUUGUCUGAUUGCAAAAUAACAUACUCAUUAAAUAAAUCAUAAUAUUUCUGAAAUGAUACAGCCCCCAUUAAUCUUUCAGAAAUGUAAUUUCACUUUUUCCUUUUGCUGUGUGUAUUACUGUUUCUUUCCUUUAAAAGUAUAAUCCAUUCUUAUGCAGUUUACCACUGAGAAUAUCUUGGAUAUUUUUAAUUGCAUUAGGUAUGCUACGAUUUUCUUUAGCACCUGUAUGGUAUUAUAUCACAUAGCAUACCACAAUUUGUUAAAUAAUUUUACUGUUGGUGGGCAUUUGGGGUUCUUUUUGCUAUAGCAAAUGUUAGGAUGGGCAUACUUUUUUAUAACAAUAUUGUUAUAUUUUUGUCCUUUUUUCCCUUUGUUUAAUUCUGAAGAAGUGGAAAUGUUGAGUUAAAAGAUGAACAUUUAAAAUUGUGAUAGAU
rnacentral:lncRNA from 1 species